UGGGGAAUAUUGGACAAUGGGCGCAAGCCUGAUCCAGCCAUGCCGCGUGUGUGAAGAAGGCCUUUUGGUUGUAAAGCACUUUAAGCGAGGAGGAGGCUACUUGGAUUAAUACUCUAGGAUAGUGGACGUUACUCGCAGAAUAGCACCGGCUAACUCUGUGCCAGCAGCCGCGGUAAUACAGAGGGUGCGAGCGUUAAUCGGAUUUACUGGGCGUAAAGCGUGCGUAGGCGGCUUCUUAAGUCGGAUGUGAAAUCCCUGAGCUUAACUUAGGAAUUGCAUUCGAUACUGGGAAGCUAGAGUAUGGGAGAGGAUGGUAGAAUUCCAGGUGUAGCGGUGAAAUGCGUAGAGAUCUGGAGGAAUACCGAUGGCGAAGGCAGCCAUCUGGCCUAAUACUGACGCUGAGGUACGAAAGCAUGGGGAGCAAACAGG
rnacentral:rRNA from 1 species